AAUAAUAAUAAAACAUAAUAAUGUGCAUAUGCAAUCUACAGCGAGCUUCUUAAAGAUGAGUAGUUCCCACUGGAAUUGUAUUAAUUCGACGUGAACCAUGACGAACAAUUACUGAACAUGACAGCUUCUUUCUACAAGAAGAUUGCUGAGUCCGAAAAAAAUAUUCCGCCUUAGAGCAGCUGUGGGCCUGAUAUUUCGCCAAAACCCUAUCAAAUCAGCGAGACGAGCCUUACCUUAAGUGUAUGAGGUAUGCGCGUUUGCCAGGGUUAUUUAAUUUAACAGUAUCGAUAAAUCAUGGAGGCGUGCGACAUCGUACAGAACUCGCGGUAAACACGCCCGGCCCGGGCCGCCUCUACUGCGCAGGACCAGAGAUGCUGGGGCUUCUGGUACGUGAUGUCCCGUUUCUAAGACGCUCCUUUACUUAACGUUACAUCCACGCCGAGGCGAUCCGAAGCCAAUCGGCUGGUCACACCGUGGCGUGGAGUGAGGGAGCUGGUUCUUGGGGCGACACAAAACCCCCUAUCCCUGGUGCCAGGGGGCCGUCUAUCAAGACAGUCUGCAAUACAACAAGCUGACGCUGGUGUGCGCACUGCAGCUUUGACUCCAUUGGACUCUCAUCCACCACAGCACCACAGGCAGAGCGGCGACUACCCUAUUCAGUAGACUACAGCUUUCCCAGUUCCUGUUUCCGCCGCAGCCUUUCCACCCGAAUUUGUACCCAAACAUCUCUGCGUCAGAUUCAACUUCUUCAGCCCCGAUGGAUCGCGCCGAACGCCGCUGCUGCUGUGUGGCAAGGCUCCACAGCUGAAGGUAGCCCCUCCCCUCCGGCGCCGCUGACAGAGAGCGGUCAGGCUGCGGUUUGGAACUCGCCCCGCACCGAGGAGCCGAGGAAGCGGAGCGCGCGCGAACACGGAAGAGAGACGCGCGGCAAAGCGACACGGCGUCACCGCGGCUGGACCCUCGCGCAGAAACGCCGGACGUCUUUGCGCCAGCCAUGCUUUAGCACGCCCCCUCCGUCCGGUUUUAUCCUGAGACACACCCCCCCUCCCCCUUCUCCCCCCCCCCCCCCCCCCCCCCACACACCCAUCCCGAGUGUACAGCCACCCAGGGCGGCAAGAUGCCAAUGCUAACACCGGCGACGCAGCGGAAGCACUUGUGACAGCAGGGUGGGUCCGGGGAGGGGUGGGGUGGGGGGGGGGAGGAGGGGGCGUGUGUGUCUGUCCUGAGCGGGUGAAGCGUCUGUGCGUGCGUGGGUGCACGCCUGUGCGCCUGUGUGGGUGUGUGUGUGUGUGUGCGUGUGUGUGUGUGUGUGCGCGCGCGUGUGUGUGUGUUACGGCGGCGUGGGGGCCGACAGACACUCCGGGCACGUCGUGCGUCGCGUGGACCAUGCGGCCGUGGGCGGGGUCUUGGCGCUGGAUCACCCUGGUGCUGCUGGCCUGGGGCACGCUGCUCUUCUACAUCGGCGGCCACCUGGUGCGCGACAGUGAGCACCCCGAGCGCUCCAGCC
rnacentral:lncRNA from 1 species